GACGAACGCUGGCGGCGUGCUUAACACAUGCAAGUCGAGCGGUAAGGCCCUUUCGGGGUACGACGAGCGGCGAACGGGUAGGAGUAACAACGUGGGUGGACCUCGCCCUUACGUCUCUGGGAGUAAGACCUCGGGAAACGUAGGGUCGUAAUAACCGGACGUAUUGACUCCAUAACGCAUGUUGUGGGGUGGAAAGACCUUG
rnacentral:rRNA from 1 species